AUACGGAGGAUGCGAGCGUUAUCCGGAAUUAUUGGGCGUAAAGGGCGCGUAGGCGGUCAGGUAAGUCAGAUGUGAAAGCCCUGGGCUCAACCCAGGAAGUGCAUUUGAAACUACUUGACUUGAGUACGGGAGAGGACGGGGGAAUUCCCGGUGUAGAGGUGAAAUUCGUAGAUAUCGGGAGGAAUACCGGUGGCGAAGGCGCCCGUCUGGACCGAUACUGACGCUGAGACGCGAAAGCGUGGGGAGCAAACAGGAUUAGAUACCCUGGUAGUCCACGCCGUAAACGAUGAGCACUAGGUGUAGCGGGUAUUGACCCCUGCUGUGCCGUAGCUAACGCAUUAAGUGCUCCGCCUGGGGAUUACGGUCGCAAGACUAAAACUCAAAUGAAUUGACGGGG
rnacentral:rRNA from 1 species